ensembl:lncRNA
GAGACUGGCCUGUUGGGACCACUAAUGGAGUCCAAUAAUCUGGUGCCCCAAAGACAGCAUCCUGGGAGGCGUCGAGGGACUUGCCCAAGGACACAUAGCAGUGGGUGGCAGACCUAGGGCCAGAACUUGAGAGCCCAGAAUUCUACUCUAACCCAUGCCGCAUGGUCCACAAGGUUUCACAGUGAGACUGUCCUAAGGCUGCCACCAGUGACUGGAUAUGUGGCCAUCGAUAAACUGCUAAAUGUCUCCAAGACUCAUUCACUGUAUUUGCAAAAGGACUGAUUCAAUAAUCAAGUGCCCCACUCACACACUGUCCAUCUCUGAAUUUUCUAGACACUCCGACAAAAUCAAGUGGGUGCAGAAGGAAGGAGCUGCCUUGUUUACGGGCUCCAGUGUUGGCCUUACCCUUCAGAGGCCAGGGAUCUUUAGUGGGGUUGCGGGUCAUGGCCCAGGGUCGCCGCCAUGGAAGGUCUCAAUAGGACUGUGGACAAGGCCCUUUGCAAACUGCGAAGCACUUUACAAAUGUUAGGGGUUAGCCCCUAGCCUGGUACCUGCAGUGAAAGAGGUGCCCAGUGAGUGAAGGAAUGGAAGAAUGAAGCAAUGCAUGUCUGAAUGUCUAGAAUGAGCCCUGCUGUGGCUCCAUCCUCUCACACACAUAUGUGCAUUCAGAUUUCAUGUGGUGUGUCCAACACAAGCUGACAUGCUCUCUGUGACACCAUGAGUGAGAAGGUAGGUGCCCCCUAACCCAUGGUCCCUACUCUGUACUUCCCACAGCUGCACGGCCCCUUCACCCUGUGCCUCUCAGUCACAAGCCUGGGCUGCCACUCAGGUGAGGGGACAGUCUCUUACAGAAGGAUCUUUUUCUCCUCGUGGCUCCUAGGCUGUGGUACUGCCAUCUCCCACGGCCAUCAGCCUAAUUAGGAACCAACUCUUUAAUUGCAAAUAAAUACCGGGGAGUCAGACCCGAGUGAACAACAUCAAAGAUGACCGAGUUCUGACCGAAACGCCCGAUCACUACCCCCUGCUCAGGGCCUGGCCUAGUUCCCAGCCAGACUCUGGGUCCUGCUGGGAGGGUUCCGGGGGAGGAGGAGAGGCGCUGUGUCUGGGAUGGAUGGCACUAGCCUGGGAGGAGUCCUGCCUCCUGGCCCUGAUCCAGCAGGUCAUCUCCCUCCUCUGGCCUCAGUCUUCCCAUCCGAACAAUGAGAUCAUUACUCUCUCCCCAGCUCUAAAUUUCCGUGAUUUAAUGUUCCUAGGACUAGCAGCUCUAGUCCUAACCACCCAAACCCAGAAACCAGCUCAGAUAUCUAUCAACAGAAAACCAAUAAACAAAAACUAGGAACAUCCAGCCAAUGAAACACUACUCACCAGGAAAAAGGAACAAGCUACUGACACCCGCAACAAGGUGCAUGAAUCUGAAGGGCAUCCCAUUGAGCGUGGGAGGCCAGACACAGAAGGUUCGUGGUAUAUUUCCACCGAGACAAAACUCUUGAGAAGGCAAACUAAUCUACGGCAGUGUAAAUCAGAACAGUGGCCAGGCACAGUGGCUCACGCCUGUAAUCUCAGCACUUUGGGAAGCUGAGGCGGGUGGAUCACCUGAGGUCAGGAGUUCGAGACCAGCCUGGCCAACAUGGCAAAACCCCGUCUCUAUUAAAAAUAAAAAAAAAUCAGCCGG